rnacentral:rRNA from 1 species
GAUGAACGCUGGCGGCGUGCCUAAUACAUGCAAGUCGAGCGAACAGACGAGGAGCUUGCUCCUCUGACGUUAGCGGCGGACGGGUGAGUAACACGUGGAUAACCUACCUAUAAGACUGGGAUAACUUCGGGAAACCGGAGCUAAUACCGGAUAAUAUAUUGAACCGCAUGGUUCAAUAGUGAAAGACGGUUUUGCUGUCACUUAUAGAUGGAUCCGCGCCGCAUUAGCUAGUUGGUAAGGUAACGGCUUACCAAGGCAACGAUGCGUAGCCGACCUGAGAGGGUGAAAGGCCAGACUAAAACAGGGAGACGGUACGGUGUCCUGCGGGAGGCAGAAGUAGGGAAUGGUCAGCAAUGGGCGAAAGCUUGACGAAUAAAAACCGCGUGAGAGAUGAAAGUCUUCGAAUCGUAAAACUCUGUUAGUAGGAAAGAACAAAUAAGAAAGUGAAUAUGCACGUCGUGACGGUAGCUAAUCAGAAAGCCACAGCAAACUACGUA